ensembl:lncRNA
AGGGCACCUCUGGAGCUGUCAGAGAGGGGCUGUUCCAGGGCCAAGUGGGGUCUGGAGACAUUCUGAGGGCAGCUGAGUGCCAAGGGCUGAGGCAGGCCUGUGUCCCCAGGGACACCCUGCCUGUUCCUGCCUGCGUGGUGGCUCCCUGGGACCCGUUGCUGGGGGCAGGUGCCAUGUCAACAAGCACUGGGACCUGUUGCUAGCAGCCGGCAGCGUGUCACAGAGGGGCCCUUUGUGACACCCACUGCAGCAGGUGUGCUCAGCACGACCGUGGCCCACGGUGGGUCAGUGUCCGUCAGGACGGCGACCGGACAGGAGAGGAGUGCAGCGCUGGCGAGAAGCCCCCGACUGCAGUCCACGUCUUGUCCACGACCCCAGGUGGCCCUGUGGGAACGCGGAGUUUCGCUGAGGCGUUUUGCCAAAGCGUUUUUGCCUGAGGCAUUUGGGCCGAGGCCUUUUGGCCGAGGCGCUUUGCCUGAGGUGCUUUGCCUUGGCCUUUGGGCUGAGGCACUUUGCUGAGGCCUUCGGGCUGAGGCACUUUGCCGAGGCCUUUUGGCUGAAGCCUUUUGCCUUGGCCUUUUGGCCGAGGCGCUUUGCCUUGGCCUUUUGGCUGAGGCACUUCGCCCUGGCUUUUUGGCUGAGGCCUUUUGCUGAGGCCUUUUGCCUGAGGCCCUUUGCCUGAGGCGAUUUGGCCGCGGCAUUUUUUCUGGGGGUGUUCGACUCCACCAUUCGGACGCCCUCUGUAGGCAGGCUCCCCUGUGUUCUUUGAUUCACAGGGUGGAGAGGAGACCCCCGCCUGCCCCAGGCAGGCCUGGAUGGAAGACAGCUCUUCCCAGGAGAGCCGCUCUCCAGGUCUGCAGCUUCCGUCCUCCUACGAGGUGACCACCAUGCAGCCCCUGAAGCUGGAUGCCAGCUGGUUGCCCAUCUACAAGGAGGAGCAGGAAGCUGUUGAUUCCAUCCUGGCCUUUGUCACCAGCCCCAACAAGGUAACUGCGGCCAGCUGGAGGGUGGCUGUGCUGCUGUCUGCUGGCAGGGGCUGUGCUGCCAGGCUGCUGGAGGGGUGCUGGCAGGGCAGGGCUGCUUCUCCUGCAGGGCACUGCACCCCCUGUGCUGCGGUCCCGCUGGCUGUGUCCGCCCACUCACAGUCCGUGUUUGUGUCUCUGUCCCCCGGCUGGCAGGAGGAGAGAGACAAGGCCACAUUUCUCCGGAGCAUCUCUGUGCUGUGCAGAAGCGCCUUGAACCACGGCCUGACCCAGGGCCUGGACCUGUUCUGCGACAUGUACCAGCUGGCAGAGAACAUCAAGGUGAGGGCACUCUGGGCAAUGUGGCGAAGGGAGCAAAGCCCCCUGGCACAGGCAGCCUGUGUGGACAGCGCUUGUGCGGGUCAGGGACUGGAGGCCCUGGGUGCUGGCAGCUGCCAGCAGGUGCCAUCCCGGUUUUGCUCUGCAGGCACUGCUGGAAGAAGAGCCAAGGGACCAGCUGCGCACAGACCUUCGGCAUCUUUCCAUGCUGGCUCUGGAGAAAUUGAGCUUGGUGGACACAGCGCUGGAGGGUAAAGCCAAAAGCCUCCUCCGCGCGUGUUUCUCGAGUGUCUUCUGGCUGCCUGCAGAGAAGGAAAUGCCAAAAGCGGACCUUGCCCUCUACAUCAAGGUUGCCGGUGGUAGGUGCCAUGUCAACAAGCACUGGGACCUGUUGCUAGCGGCAGGUGGUGGAUGACACCGGGACAAGCUGAGCCCUCGCUGGGUCUUUCUCCUUUUGCUAAAGGAGAAUCUGCUGCCCGAGCCUUCUCGCGACAUUUCAGUUCAGGGUCACUGCCAAUGUAACCCUGCCCUCUGCCGGUGUGAAGCUGUUUAUGUGUUUAUAAUCAGCGGUACAAGCAGUGAAGGGCAGGAGAACCCUGGAUUUUCUGUAGUUCGUGGGAUACGCACAGUGUACCCAGCGCCACGCGGCUCUGGACUUGGCUCGAGUUUGAGUGCAAGCAUUUUCCAAUCCCCAAUAAAAAUCGGGAGUGAUAAAUCA